rnacentral:rRNA from 1 species
UACGUAGGUGGCAAGCGUUGUUCGGAAUUACUGGGCGUAAAGCGCGCGUAGGCGGCCACCGCAAGUCGACUGUGAAAUCUCCGGGCUUAACCCGGAAAGGUCAGCCGAUACUGCGGGGCUAGAGUGCAGAAGGGGCAACUGGAAUUCUCGGUGUAGCGGUGAAAUGCGUAGAUAUCGAGAGGAACACCUGCGGCGAAGGCGGGUUGCUGGGCUGACACUGACGCUGAUGCGCGAAAGCUAGGGGAGCGAACGGG